AUUCUACCAUAAAUUUUUUAUUGCAAAAUACAACAAAGAGAGACUUAUAUGGCCAGAAACGGUGUGACACGAGCAACUACAAUGUUGAUAAUUGGAAUGUUUAUAUGUUUUGCCAUUGCUGAAUUUCAUAACACUAUUCUUGAAGAGCCUUUGUCUCCGUUAAAUUAUUAUAUUGCAACAGCUGAUGAAGAGUUAGCAAAGUGUAUUGCUGAAUGCAAUAGACGUUUUUUGCCUGGUACAAUGAACAGCGACAAUUGCAUUAGGAAAUGCCAUGCUAAACAUAAGUUCGGAAAAUAAAGUUUAACAAUGGGAUACCAUUUUGAAUUUCAAAUGGAAAAGAGGGAAGAUGUGAAAGACAUUAAUUUUGGAUGUGUGUUUCUAUAAUAAUUAACUGGUCCCAUUAAAUAUUGCCUGAGCAAUAAUUGAUCAGUGUUUGUUUACUUAAUUGCACUAUUUCUAAAAAGGGUUAA